GCGAUUUUUGAGGAUGUCCUUUGUUCGCUAUUUGCCCUCCGAUGACAUUUGGGUCUUGGAGAGGAAACAAAGACUAGUC
rnacentral:telomerase_RNA from 1 species